GACGAACGCUGGCGGCGUGCCUAAUACAUGCAAGUCGAGCGGACGGAUGGGAGCUUGCUCCCAGACCGUCCGCGGCGGACGGGAGAGUAACACGAGGGCAACCUGCCUGUAAGACUGGGAUAACUCCGGGAAACCGGGGCUAAUACCGGAUAACUCUUUCACUCACAUGAGGGAAAGCUGAAAGAUGGCAUCUCGCUAUCACUUACAGAUGGGCCCGCGGCGCAUUAGCUAGUUGGUGAGGUAACGGCUCACCAAGGCGACGAUGCGUAGCCGACCUGAGAGGAUGACCGGCCACACUGGGACUGAGGCACGGCCCAGACUCCUACGGGAGGCAGCAGUAGGGAAUCUUGCGCAAUGGACGAAAGUCUGACGGAGCAACGCCGCGUGAGUGAUGAAGGCUUUCGGAUCGUAAACCUCUGUUGUCAGGGAAGAACAAGUACCGGAGUAACCGCCGGGAUCUUGACGGUACCUGAAGAGAAAGCCACGGCUAACUACGUG
rnacentral:rRNA from 1 species